GAUGAACGUUGGCGGUGUGCCUAAUACAUGCAAGUCGAACGGAGACUGUAGCAAUACUGUCUUAGUGGCGAACGGGUGAGUAACGCGUUGGUGAUCUGCCUCGAAGUGUGGAAUAACCUCCCGAAAGGGAAGCUAAUACCGCAUAGUCUCUCAAGGUUUAGAAAAUUGAGAGUAAAGGAUUUAUUCGCUUCGAGAGGAGCCUGCGUCCCAUCAGCUAGUUGGUAGGGUAACGGCCUACCAAGGCAAUGACGGGUAGGGGACCUGAGAGGGUGGCCCCCCACAAUGGAACUGAAACACGGUCCAUACACCUACGGGUGGCAGCAGUAGGGAAUAUUAGAAAUGGGCGGAAGCCUGAACCAGCCAUGCCGCGUGCGGGAUGAAGGCCCUACGGGUUGUAAACCGCUUUUCCCCGGGAAGAAUAAGCCCCCGCGGGGGUGAUGCCGGUACCGGGGGAAUAAGGAUCGGCUAACUCCGUG
rnacentral:rRNA from 1 species